AUAACUCAUAUUCGAUACUCAACUUGGAUCUUUUACUGGUUAUUAGUUGUUGCAUGGUCGAGUUUACCACUAGAUUGCUUUCUUUUCACCUUGAUGCUCUUCUAUUGUCACCAUAUGUUUGAGCAUUCUUAUUUGUUUUUGCUAUCUCUAUUGUCUUACAAACAGAAUGCUCCUGAAACAUCUCUCCCACCCACCACCGGCCCGGAACCCCCUGGACCUUAGUAUGCGUGCACAGAUCAUAUGCUCACGUGCUAACUGAAGAUUAGCGGAUGAGGAAGUUCUCUGUUUCUCUUUGCAUGGUAGGAUGGUGGCAAGAGGAUGGGCCUGAAAUUUGACCGGGUUAGGCAUUGGCUGUCUGUUGGGGGACAACCAUCAGAUCCUUGGUCUACUAGGUUAUCUUUGGCUGUCCGUUGGGGGACAACUGCAUUAACGUCAUGCACGCACACUUCUGUUUUGUAAAUAUACUUCAUGAAGGUUAUCUUUUGUCUAAUCGGUUAAUUUUUAUCA